GACCAACGAGAUUAUCUAUUCCGGGACAUCAUCAUUUCUUGAAACUCAAUUUUCUUGGCAUUCCUGAUGUCGACAAUGUUUAGUGGCAUAGGAUCCAGAUGUCCAUUUUCUUCAACGAGCUGAAAGAAUUCCUGCUUGGUAAGACUUUUCUUUUCGACGAGCACACUCACCACUGCAUCCAUUAGCUUCCUAUUUCGUUGUAAAAUCCCUUUUGCUCUAUCAUAGCAGU
rnacentral:misc_RNA from 1 species